AUUGAACGCUGGCGGCAGGCCUAACACAUGCAAGUCGAACGAGUGGCGGACGGGUGAGUAAUGUCUGGGAAACUGCCUGAUGGAGGGGGAUAACUACUGGAAACGGUAGCUAAUACCGCAUACCAUCAGAUGUGUCCAGUUGGGAGUAGCUAGUUGGUGGGGUAACGGCUCACCAAGGGGGCGAUCCCUAGCUGGUCUGAGAGGAUGACGAGCAACACGGCAAAUGAGACGCGGUCCAGACUCCGACGUGAGGCAGCAGUGGGGAAUAUUGCACAAGGGGCGGAAGCCAGAUGCAGCCAUGCCGCGUGUAUGAAGAAGGCCUUCGGGUUGUAAAGUACUUUAAGCGGGGAGGCGUUACCCGCAGAAGAAGCACCGGCUAACUCCGUGCCAGCAGCCGCGGUAAUAC
rnacentral:rRNA from 1 species